rnacentral:rRNA from 1 species
GACAGGUCGGACUCUCCCUGUUGGAAGUGCUGGCUGCUUGAGGGGAAGGUGCGCCCAGUACGAGAGGAACGGCGUGCCGCGGCCUCUAGUUUACCGGUUGUCCGGUAGGGCAACGCCGGGCAGCCACGCCGUAGGGGGUAACCGCUGAAAGCAUCUAAGCGGGAAACCCUCCCCGAAAAUAGGCGGCCGUUCCCUCUCCGAUAAGGGGAGGGACGAGGGCUCCCGUAUAAGACGGGGUUGAUGGGGCGGGGGUGUAAGCCCCAAGGGGCCUUUGGCUCCGAGGGGUGAGCCCGCCGCUCCCAAUCGCCCGAGG